GUAUGGCAUUUAACGCCCAAUGUGUAAAAACGCCCGAAUGCUAAAAAUCGGAGAUAAUGCCGCACGAGUUACGUUAUACUUCAUGCACACAUAGAAUAAACCAAUAGGAACGCGCGGACGCGACGCGGCGCCGCUCAGGCCAUCGGUCGCUCAGUUGUGAACCGAACUUGAAGGACGCCGGCAGUGCACGCUGUUCUUAUAAAAAAUACUCCGACAAAUCCGGCGUUAAUUGACGUACUGUUUUGGGGCGUCAUUAGCCACCUACGGUGAAUAGCGCCCAAUAGGCAUUUUAAUAAUAAUCUGAUUUUUUAUUAAAA